rnacentral:lncRNA from 1 species
GUCCUGGACUGAGCUUCAGAAGAUCUCAGAUCACUGACGUUCUGUCUAGAAGAAUACUCCAAGAUAUAUUUCUAAGUAAUAUUCCUUCUCUUGUUGGGGGAAAUUAGAGAAGAUUUCUACCUGGUGCCAUAUCAACUCAAGGAUGGAGUCAAAUACUGAGAGGCUCUGUCAUCUGUCUUUGGAUCUCCUUCUUCUCUUAGUUUGUUGAAGAAAGGAUGUAUGUCCGAUUCCUCUGCAGUUUCCUGAAAUUCUGGAUACAUAAUGUUACAUAAAUUGCAGAAUAUAUUCCAAGUUUCUUAGGAACAACUGUGGCUGUUCAUAAAGAACUGAGAAUGAUGAGAACCCCUCCCAAUAGCAGCAGACUCAAAGAAGUGUCAUCAUGGGCUGGAAAAGUGGAGGAGCAGGAGCAGGGACAGGGGAGAAUAAAACUAGGGCAAAUCGACGAGCAACUAAGAGAGAGGAAAAAGAUGGGGUGGCUGAAUGAGGCAGAAUCCAGCUGCAGACUAAGGCCAGCACGCAGGAUGGAAGAGUGCGGCUCCAGUGACAGAAAAGAUAAAAAAACCUUCUGCCAGUAAAGACAGCAGCACUGCAGACAUGACUUCAUUAUUUUCCACACGUGCAUAAGGUCAAAUCUCUAUAAUAAAUUGUGCUCA